rnacentral:rRNA from 1 species
CCUACGGGGGGCAGCAGUAGGGAAUCUUUCACAAUGGGCGAAAGCCUGAUGGAGCAACGCCGCGUGCAGGAUGAAGGCCUUCGGGUUGUAAACUGCUUUUAUAAGCGAGAAAUAUGAUGGUAACUUAUGAAUAAGGAUCGGCUAACUACGUGCCAGCAGCCGCGGUCAUACGUAGGAUCCGAGCAUUAUCCGGAGUGACUGGGUGUAAAGAGUUGCGUAGGUGGCAUAAUAAGUAGCUAGUGAAAUCUGGUGGCUCAACAAUUCAGACUAUUAGCUAAACUGUUAAGCUCGAGACCGUUAGGGGUAACUGGAAUUUCUAGUGUAGGAGUGAAAUCCGUAGAUAUUAGAAGGAACACCAAUAGCGUAGGCAGGUUGCUGGGACGGUUCUGACACUAAGGCACGAAAGCGUAGGGAGCAAACGGGAUUAGAUACCCGUGUAGUC